rnacentral:RNase_P_RNA from 1 species
AGGGGGCCUGAGGCAGCCGCGUGAUCUUUGGAUCGCGAGGAAAGUCCGGGCUCCACGAAACAAGGGUGGCGGGUAACGCCCGCCGGGCGCGCGUCUUCGGGCGCGGGUCAAGGGAAAGUGCCACAGAGAGUAUACCGCCGAUGGACCGGAACGGGUCACAGGCAAGGGUGAAAGGGUGCGGCAAGAGCGCACCGGGACGCUGGCAACAGGGUCCGCAUGGCAAACCCCACCCGGAGCAAGGCCGAAUAGGGGUCUCGCGCUGAAAGGCAGGCGUGUUUCGCGCCGAGAGACCCGGGUUGGCUGCUAGAGCCGUCGAGCAAUCGCCGGCCCAGAUGAAUGGCUGCCACCUGAGGCCCGUCCCGCAAGGGAUACCGCCUUGGGAGACAGAACCCGGCUUAUGAUGGCCCCCUGAUG